rnacentral:lncRNA from 1 species
GAGGGGUCAAUUCCAUCUUGACUCACACACCAACUUGAUAAGUACUUGAUUGCACUCAAUAUCCUUCUAUUAUUGAAUUAGAAACUCAGAUGGUCUGAUAUUAAAGUACAGUGAGUUACAUACAAAUCACCAUGGUGGUCUCAGAUUUGAAGAACACUUAUACCCAUGUGCUUCAUAAGCUACUCUUGAUAGCAGAGUGCUCGACAAA